GAUGAACGCUGGCGGCGUGCCUAAUACAUGCAAGUCGAGCGAACAGACGAGGAGCUUACUCCUCUGACGUUAGCGGCGGACGGGUGAGUAACACGUGGAUAACCUACCUAUAAGACUGGGAUAACUUCGGGAAACCGGAGCUAAUACCGGAUAACAUGUUGAACCGCAUGGUUCAACAGUGAAAGACGGUCUUGCUGUCACUUAUAGAUGGAUCCGCGUCGCAUUAGCUAGUUGGUAAGGUAACGGCUUACCAAGGCAACGAUGCGUAGCCGACCUGAGAGGGUGAUCGGCCACACUGGAACUGAGACACGGUCCAGACUCCUACGGGAGGCAGCAGUAGGGAAUCUUCCGCAAUGGGCGAAAGCCUGACGGAGCAACGCCGCGUGAGUGAAGAAGGUCUUCGGAUCGUAAAACUCUGUUAUUAGGGAAGAACAAAUGUGUAAGUAACUAUGCGCGUCUUGACGGUACCUAAUCAGAAAGCCACGGCUAACUACGUG
rnacentral:rRNA from 1 species